UGAGAAAUCCAAAGAAAAUUCCGAAAUAACUGAAAACAAUCUCAAAUGCUAUCUUAAUAUUCAGAAGCUACAGAAAUAGGAAUGUGCCUGCUCAUGAGGAAAUUUAACGUGCACUGGAGAGCAAUGAUCAGUGUUGUCACCAAUGCCGACC